AUAUAUUACACUUUGUCUACUGGUGUAAAGUAGCAUUUGAGAAAUAAAUAAAACAAUUGUUCUACUUUAAAUGCUUAAACUGUUAAAUAACGAUAUUUAAAUAUUUUUAUGUUUAACACUUCCUUUCACGUCUGAAUUCGACUCAAACUCAAGAACUUUUAUUCUGAUAUCAUGAUAAUAAAUAAAACAACCGCUGUACGUACUCUAAAAACUUAUGCUAUAUAGAGAAUGGUAUUUAAAUAUUUUUAUAUUUAACAUCAUUGUUCCAUGAAUAAACUCAUAUAUAUCAUUAUUUCAGCAGUACAACAAUAUAUUUUCUGCUUUAUAUAUAAAUAAAUCUUGAC
rnacentral:lncRNA from 1 species